CAUGAAGAAAAAAAAAUUCAAAAGAUCUACGAAUUCAGGGUAGGUUUCUUGAAAAUAUUAAUAAGAAAGUCUGCUAGCAGACUAAUACAGAGGAUGAUUGAAAUAAACACAAUUAGAAAUGACAAAGGGAAUGUAAUUACCACUGACCCCACAGAAAUAGAAACAACCAUCAGAAACUACUGCAAACACUUCUGUGCAUACAAACUAGAAAACUUCAAAGAGAUGGAUAAAUUCCUGGACAAAUACACCCUCCCACAACUGAGCCAGGAAGAAAUUGAUUUGCUGAACAGACCAAUAACAAGCUCCGAAAUUGAAUCAGUAAUAAAUAACCUACCAAUCAAAAAAAGCCCAGAACAUGAUGGAUUCCCAGCCAUAUUCUACUAGAAGUACAAAGAAGAGCUGGUACCAUUUUUACAGGAACUAUUUGAAAAUAUUGAGGAGGAGGAACUCCUCCCCAACUCAUUCUAUGAGGCCAACAUCAUCUUGAUACCAAAAUCUGGCACACACACACACACACACACACACACACACACACACACACAAACUUCAGGCCAAUACCCUUGAUGAACAUCAAUGCAAAAAUCCUCAACAAAAUACGGGCAAACCAAAUCCAGCAGCACAUCAAAAAGUUAAUCCAUCAUGAUCAAGUAUGCUUCAUCCCCAGGAUGCAAGGUUGCCUCAACAUACACGUCAAUUAAUCUGAUUCAUCCCAUAAACAAAACUAAAGAUAAAAACCAUGUGAUUAUCUCAAUAUAUGCAGAAAAGGCUUUCAAUAAAAUUCAAGGCCUCUCCAUAUUAAAAACUCUAAAAAAUCUGGGUAUUGAGGAAACAUAGCUCAAAGUGAUGAGCUGUUUUUGUACCAGUAUCAUGCUGUUUUGGUUACUGUAGCCCUGUAGUAUAGUUUGAAGUUGGGUAACAUGAUGCCUCCAGCUUUGUUCUUUUUGCUGAGGAUUGCUUGGCUAUUAGGGCUCUUUUUUUUUUUGGUUCCAUAUGAAUUUUGAAAUAGUUUGCUCUAGUUCUGUGAGGAAUGCCAUUGGUAAUUUAAUAGGGAUAACUUGCAUCUGUAAAUUACUUUGGGCAGUAUAGCCAUUUUAAUGAUGUUAAUUCUUCCUAUCCAUGAGCAUGAAAUGUUUUUCCAUUUGUUUGUGUCUUCUCUGAUUUCUUUGAGCAGUGUUUUGUAAUUCUCCUAGAGAUCUCUUAGAGAUCUUUCACCUCCCUGGUUAGCUGUAUUCCUAGGUAUUUUAUUUUUUCUGUGUGUAGCAAUUAUGAAUGGGAUUAUGUUCUUCAUUUGACUCUCUGCUUUACUGCUAGGAAUUUUUGCACAUUGAUUUUGUAUGCUAAGACUUUGCUAAAGUUUAUCAGCAGAAGGAGCUUUGGGGCUAAGACUAUGGGGUUUUCUAGAUAUAGAAUCAUGUCAUCUGUAAACAGAGACAGUUUGACUUCCUGUCUAUUCCUCUCUUCCCUCCUCUAUUUGGAUGCCCUUCCAGUUUUGCACAUUCAGUGUAAUGUUGGCUGUGGGUUUGCCAUGGCUAGCUCUCAUCAUUUUGGCACUUCCGACUAGAAGUGCGAGAGGGGCCAGUGUUGUUGUUACCUGAAAGGUAAGUGCAGCCCACAAAAAUGCAGUGAAGAAGAAGAUAUAUGCAUAUGUUUAAGUUAAUACAAUUGAGAUACAUUUAGCAGACAGAAUCAAUAGAGUUGAUGAGUGACUGACUGGAUGUGUGGGGAGUUUAUAUCACUCCCAGGUUUUUGACUUGGGCAACCGGGCACUCAAGAAGGAAAAAGAGGAUCCAGGGAGAGGAACUUUUCUGAGGACUGGGGUAGGGCUGAACAGCUGCAUUCGAGACUGGUGGAGGGUGGGCUGGGCAUGGGAUGCACAAAUGGAAAUUCCACUGGGUCUGCAGCUCACACAUAGGCAUGACCAGCAUAGAGAUAGAGAGGCCCCAGUGCUGCUGAGUAACUGUGAUUCCCCAGGUGAUGGCAUCAGCUGAGAAGGGAAGGAAGCCCAUGUGAGGACACUGAAGAAGGAGUGAGCAGACAAUAAGAAGCCCACAGAAGACAGAGAAGGAACAACUAGAGGGAGAAGCCAAGGCAGGCAUGUGUGAUAACAUAUAGGAACUGAGGGAGAGGACAUUUCAAGAUGGAGGGGAUGCCAUACAACAGGACUAUGUGAUGGUUUUUGGCUGUGUCCAUAGGAAGUCACAACAGGCAAGGGAAAGAAACCAGAACCCAGUCAUGGAGUUAAGAAGUGAGUCAGAGAGGAGAUGGGUAGGGACAGUGAGGUAAGGCCUCUUUCUAAGGAAGUUUGGCUGAAGGAUAGACUAGCUGGACACAUGCUGGCUGUGUGGGGUAGAGGGAGGAAUGAUGGAGGGUAGGAGAGCCUUGAGCCUGCGAGAAGAGUCUCCUAGAAUAGAGAAGCUGAGGUUAAAGUUGUGGAAGACAGUGGGGAUAACUGAGUGACAGAUAAUCAGGAGAAGAAAAGGAGAUCCAGAAUCAUGACAGAGAGAUGACCUUUGCCAAGAGCACAGCCAUCUUUCACUGUCACAGAGAGGUAGGACAAAACGAUUGGUGUUCAAGAAUUGGUUUGUAGCACAAUAUUUUAACUAUGUCCUUUAAAAAGUUUCUCCACAGACACUACCCAAAGCAGUCCUUCACUACAGUGGCAGACAGACCUGAAAAUUUUCAUCUGAAGCAGCAGAGUGAACUGCAGAGUCAGAGAUAGAAUCUCACUAUGUUGACCAGGCUGGUCUUGAACUCUUGGCACCCAAGCGAUCCUUUUGCCUGGAAUCCCAAAGUGUCAGAUUUACUGAAGAAUAUUUCAUUGUAAUUACUUUUUAUACUUUAUAGGUCAAGAGCUCUGUUUUAAAGACAAAAUUUAUUGAAUAUACUUUUUCAAACAAAGUUUCAUGUUCUAAUCAUUGUCUGAUUUCAGCAUUAAAUGAAACACAGUAAAG
rnacentral:lncRNA from 1 species